rnacentral:rRNA from 1 species
GAUGGCUUCGGCUAUCACUUACAGAUGGACCCGCGGCGCAUUAGCUAGUUGUGGGGUAACGGCCUACCAAGGCAACGAUGCGUAGCGACCUGAGAGGGUGAUCGGCCACACUGGGACUGAGACACGGCCCAGACUCCUACGGGAGGCAGCAGUAGGGAAUCUUCCGCAAUGGACGAAAGUCUGACGGAGCAACGCCGCGUGAGUGAUGAAGGUUUUCGGAUCGUAAAGCUCUGUUGUUAGGGAAGAACAAGUGCCGUUCGAAUAGGGCGGCACCUUGACGGUACCUAACCAGAAAGCCACGGCUAACUACGUGC